ensembl:ncRNA lncRNA:CR43969 long non-coding RNA:CR43969
GACAACUUAGUUAAAUAAGGCGCCACCUGUCAAGUGAUUUUCAAUAAAAUAAAUUCGUGAUUACACGACAAUAUCGAAACGAAAAAUCCAAGAGAUCAGCACAACAAUAACAAAAGACUCCCACGGGGAAUGCUGCUGCCCGUUUGGCCUCCAGUCCUCCCCCACUCCCAACUCCCCAGUUCUACCUUCCUGGCCCAUCACACACGACUUGGACUUCAGGUUGCGAAUCCUUGGCACACACUCACAUCCCCAAGCAAACGGAGCCUCCACUUCUGAAUCGCAGUCGUGCAGGGUCAACGUCAAUACUGAAUGUUGUCGCCGUUCCAACUGUCCGUCCAACGGAGCGUCCGUCUGUCGUUGAGUCCGUCCGUCUGUCUGUCUCGGUGUCUUGGCUUGUUUACAGUGUGCAAAAAUCAUUUAGACAAGUUGACAAAAGCUCGUUUGGAACGUGAGUAACAUGAGUUGGACCCGAGACUGGAGAUUCGAACUGGGGACUCGAGACCUGAGACUGCUGCCUUGGCUGCCUUCGGAAUUGGUUCUGCCCGUCCGCCGGUUGCCGUUUUCUGCGGUUAUUUGGGCUUUUGGAGCUUCUCAAGUAUCUGAGGUCUUAAUUCUAAACAUGGCAAAUGUGCCUAGAGCGUGCUGCUCAGCUGCUGCUUUGUUUCUUUGCUUCUAUAAUACUUUGGCCUGCGGCGGCGAAUAAAAU